ensembl:lncRNA
GAAAAUCCAUCUGAGAACAUCUACAGUAUUAAUAUUAGACAUGCUGAGAAAAUGGUCAGUGAGAACUAAACAUGUUACAUCGACAGAGGUGCCAAAAUCCAUGGUUUAGCUGUACAGUGUGGAUGCUUGAUACUGAAACUACACUUUCCUGUUUUUUUAUUCCAAGAAAUAAAUGGUCAGACUAAGCAAAUAAAAUGUGCCUGACAGAAAAGGCCAUAUACGGCAGAAGCAAAUCUCCUCCACUUGAAAAAAAAUCCCAGAUACCAAGUCAAAAUUCUUAGAUAAAGUCAUAACUAUGAGAUACAAGUCAUAAUUAUAGCAAGCCAAUUUUGAGAUGUCAUAAUUUUGAAAUAAAAUCUAUAUAUAAAAAAGUAAAUUUCAUAAUUAUGAGAUAAGUAAUAACUGUGAGAUAGAAAAAAGUCAAUCUUCAGCGUAAUAAUAAAAAGUAAUAAAUUCGAGAUACUGUAAGAGAUAGUCAUAGAGUGGUGCUUGAAAGUUUGUGAACCCUUAGAAUUUUCUAUAUUUCUCCAUAAAUAUGACUUAAAACAUCAUCAGAUUUGCAUGAAAUUCCUAAAAGUAGACAACAAGAACCCAAUUCUAAAAAAUCAUACUUGGUCAUUUAUUUAUUGAGUUAAAUGAUCCAAUAUUACAUAUCUGUGAGUGGCAAAAGUAUGUGAACCUUUGCUUUCAGUAUGUGGUGUGACUCGUUUGUGCAGCAAUAACUGCAGCUAAACAUGUCCGGUAACUGUUGAUCAGUCCUGCACAUCGGCUCGGAGGAAUUUUAUCCCGUUCUUCAGUACAGAACAGCUUCAACUCUGGGAGUUUGGUGGGUUUCCUCACAUGAACUGCUUGCUUUAGGUCCUUCCAUAACACUUCUAUUGGAUUAAGGUCAGGCCAUUCCAAAAUCUAAAAUUUAUUCUUCUUUAACCAUUCUUUGGUAGAACGACUUGUGUGUUUAGGAUCAUUGUCUUGCUGCAUGAUGCACUUUCUCUUGAGAUUCACUUCAAGAACAGAUGUUGUGACAUUUUGCUUUAGAAUUCCCUGGUAUAAUUCAGAAUUCAUUGUUCCACCAAUUAUGGCAAGUCGUCCUGACCCAGAUGCAGCAAAACAAACCCAAACCAAAAUACUACCACCACUAGCUUUCACAGAUGGGAUAGGGCGCUUAUGCUGGAAUGCAGGGUUUUCCUUUCUCCAAACAAAACGCUUCUCAUUUAAACCAAAAAGUUAUAUUCAGGCUUGGGGAGUAACAGAAUACAUGUAAUGGUGUUACGUAAUCAGGAUACAAGUAACUGGUAACUGUAAUCCCUUACAGUUACAUCAAAAAAUAACAAGUAAUCAGAUUGCAGGUACAUUUUGUAAAAAAAAAAAAAAAUUGGAAUACUACCAGGAUUAAAUUUUUUAUUUUCAUUUAACACCCAAGAAAUUCAUCUUUUGACAUAACACACUAUAGACAGUUGCUUGAUUAUAGUUCUGGUUCUCUCUUGCCAGUCGUGACUCACAUGAGCAACCUUCUGGUGCAUGCAAUAAAUUUUGUACAAAGUUAAUUUGGUGGAAAUGAACACAAAUUGUUCUUUGAAAUGUUUUUGUUAGGGUGACCAUACAUCCUCUUUUUCCCCUGGACAUGUCCUCUUUCUCUGACCUUAAAAAAGUGUCUAAAUUUGAGAAAAUGUCACGGAUUCGGCUUUAGUUUCAUUUUGAUGUGCUUAUGGUCUAAUACUGCAUCAUGUGUGCGCAUAUUUGCAUUGCUUUAACCCCUCUCCGUAAUUCCCGCCGUCUCGCACAACAGUUGGUCACACAACUAAAUUCCUUCCUCUCAACCAUUAGUCUACUCUCAGCGAGUGCGCGAAGGUAAAGUGUUGUUCUGUCCUGAGUCGAAACAAUGCCCAUGGCCAUAUAAGGUCAUUUUAAAUGUAAUAUUAUCACAUUGCUUCGUAUUGCAUGUUCAUUUAAAUGUAUAAAUAAUGGCAGAAGGUACACUCGUGGCGUCUGAUAUUUUAUUUUAUUCCAUGGACAUUCAGAAGAAUGUAGGAACAAAUAUAAAACAUGGGCAGAGUGAAACCAAUUUUAUUUAUAUAUAUUUAUAUGAUGUUAACGGUUUGUCUUUUUCAGUGUAUUAAAGUCUGCAUUCAUAGUAAAACAGUUUAAACGUUAUUAAGUCUUCUUUUUGGAAAACCAGAAUAUGGUCACGCUAACUUUUCUGAUGUAAUGUUACCCGCAUCAGGGACAGUGAUCUUUUAUUCAUUUUAUUAAAACAAAUCCAAACGUUGAACCUGUUUUUAAGCUCUAAAAUAAGCUCUUAAUAAAAGUAUUUUAGAUGCUAUUGCUUUUCUCUUGACUUUAUUUACAUACGUGACACUGAAGUAAUCCAAAAGUAAUCAGCUUACAUUACUUUCAUGUUGUGAUUCUUGGAUUACGUUACUGAUUACAGUUUUUAUGAAGUAAUUUGUAAUUGUAACAGAAUAAAAUUCUAAAGUAACCUCCCAACCCUGGUUUUAUUUCGGUCUU